rnacentral:rRNA from 1 species
GUGACAGCGUGCCUUUUGAAGAAUGAGCCUGCGAGUUAGCGAUAUGUGGCGAGGUUAACCCGAGAGGGGUAGCCGUAGCGAAAGCGAGUCUGAAUAGGGCGAUUCAGUCGCAUGUCCUAGACCCGAAGCGAAGUGAUCUAUCCAUGGCCAGGCUGAAGCGACGGUAAGACGUCGUGGAGGGCCGAACCCACCUAGGUUGAAAACUGGGGGGAUGAGCUGUGGAUAGGGGUGAAAGGCCAAUCAAACUUCGUGAUAGCUGGUUCUCUCCGAAAUGCAUUUAGGUGCAGCGUUGCGUGUUCUUGCCGGAGGUAGAGCUACUGGAUGGCCGAUGGGCCCCAAAAGGUUCUGACGUCAGCCAAACUCCGAAUGCCGGUAAGUGAGAGCGCAGCAGUGAGACUGUGGGGGAUAAGCUUCAUAGUCGAGA